GUAGAGGUACAACCAGUUGUAGAAGUACAGGUAAACUGGAGAGCAUGCUCAAUCUUCUCAGAUGUAUUCAGGGUAUUCUUCUUUUGAAUCAUCUUAUAAUUAGUUACAGCUGUAGUCACAACACAUAAACCAGAUACAGUAAAUUACAGCAUUUUCAUGUGUCCAUCUUAAUUUUGCAUCUCUUCAGAAUAAAAAAGUAUAGCUUUGCUCUGCAGGAGACACCAGCGGAAGUGCCAGUGCCAUGUGUUGUAGAAGUCAAGGUAAAUCAAAGGAGAGUUCUUAAUGUUGGGGUUUGGUCUUUUUUAGGGAGUGGAAUAAUCCUCUGAUUAAAUCACAUCACCAUGUUCUAAAUUGCAAAAAGAAAAUUGGCAUGUUCUUAUUCCUUUUUAUCUGCUCAGAGUGAAGAUAAUGUUGAACCCCAUGACACAGCAGAGCAGGUGGCACAGCCAGUAGAGCAGGUAUAUCAGCAGAAAGGGCUCGGGAAUAUUAAAUCUUAAUUUGCUUUGCUCUGCAUGCACCUCUGACAUGAUGUUGUACCAGAUGUACCAAAUAUUAUGUUAACCAAAAAUAAUCUUUCAUUUAUUUUCAGUCAACACACAUGCAAUUUGGCAUUUGCAGUCAUUAUUUUAUCAUGUUUUGAUUCAUUUAUUUUUAAAGGAUUUUAUCCAUUUUCAUCACCAGUUUUUGUAUCUGCAUUUAAAUUGAUGGGAAGACAAAUCAUUUUCCUUUCCUGCAGAUGGUGGAAGAGGUACCACAGCCUGUGGUAGAAGCUGAGGUAAAUUAAGGAAGUUCAACAUUUUGGGAUGUACGCUUAUAUGCUUUCUUGCCGAGAGUUAGAUGAGAAGAACACUCUCAUCUGUGUCUGUUAUGUAUGAGGCAUAGCAGCCGGUUAGCUUAUAGCUUAGCAUAAAGGCUUGAAACAGCUAGUCUGGCUAACAGCACGGCUCUGUCCGAGGGUAACAAGAUCCGCCUAUUGGCAGCUUUAAAGCUCACUAAUUAACACGUUAUAUAUUCUUUUUACUUUCCACUUUCAUUUUGUUGGAUUAACAAAGAAAAUAUAGUUUAUCUUGUUAAACAGUACAAUUUCCUUACUUUUGGACAGAGCCAGGCAAGUUGUUUCCAGCUGUUUCCAUUCUUUAUGUCAAGCUAAGCUAACCAUCUCCUGCAUCAUACAGUACAUAAAAGGGAUUAAAAAUGGUAUAAAUCUUCUCAUCAAUUGGCAAGACAGCAAAUAACCUUUUUUUCCCAACGUGUCAAACUAUUCAUUCAAAGGAGGAAUCUUCAGUGGAGACAUUCCCUUUCCUAUUUUCUUGUCUUUUUUUCCCUUCCAGACAAUAACCUUAUUUACUUUUGUGCAUGAUGUUGCGGGCUUCUUCACUUACAGGGACUGGUUCAUAUCAGAUUUUUCUGCCUCCUUUUCUGCUCUGAUCCUGCCUGGACUCUUCCUCCCCUUUUACCUCUUCUUUCACUUCACAGGUGGCAGCUGCUGCCCUUACUCUGUCAGCUUCAAUCCUGGUCCUGCCUUUAAAUGCGUAAAUACCUCAUAUGUAUUUUCUUCUCCGCCGUUUUGAUAAAAGAAGGUGGAUUCUUCAAAAGCUGACACUUUGGAGGCUGCAGCAAAGCCCGAAGCAAAGCCAGAACUGCCACAGCCUCUUAAGGAACUAAAGAAAACACUAUCUCGCUUUUCUCUCUUCAAGCCUAAAGUACUGUUAGACCACAUGACCACAAAAGUCCAGGCAGCCUCCACAAGUGGAGUUCGGCUCCUCAGGAGAACAACUGGAGUGGUAAAUACAGUAAAAUUACCUCUGGAGAAUAGAUGCAUUAUUAACCAGAGUCAUUUCAUUAAUACAUCUGGUAUUAAAACUGCUCUAAAACAACUUUUUUGGCAGAGGCAUUUUUCUCCAUUUGUUAUUAUAUUUAAAAAUCUUAACAGUGCUUCUAAACAUCCCUCAUAAUGUUGCAGUCACUAAGACACACUGGAUCCUAACAGCGGGCACAUCUUAAUGUCACUUAAAAUGUUACAUCUGAUCAUAACGAGCGGAGCACAUGCUCUAGGACUGGAAUAAUUCAGUUUUUCAUUAUGCGCAUUAUUCUGUUUUGUUGGCUUUUACUAACAAUACGAAUUCCCUCACUGUCCUGCAGACAGACAAGGACAAGGAUGCACCACCACAGCCAGCAGUAGAAGUAGAGGUACAACCAGUUGUAGAAGUACAGGUAAACUGGAGAGCAUGCUCAAUCUUCUCAGAUGUAUUCAGGGUAUUCUUCUUUUGAAUCAUCUUAUAAUUAGUUA